rnacentral:rRNA from 1 species
CACGUAGGGGGCGAGCGUUGUCCGGAUUCAUUGGGCGUAAAGGGCGCGCAGGCGGCCCGGAAAGUCGGAUGUGAAAACUCGAGGCUCAACCUCGAGCGUGCACCCGAUACUGCCGGGCUUGAGGCAGGUAGGGGAGAUCGGAAUUCCUGGUGUAGCGGUGAAAUGCGCAGAUAUCAGGAGGAACACCGGUGGCGAAGGCGGAUCUCUGGGCCUGUCCUGACGCUGAGGCGCGAAAGCUAGGGAGCGAACAGG